UGCAGUCGAGCGAAUGGAUUAAGAGCUUGCUCUUAUGAAGUUAGCGGCGGACGGGUGAGUAACACGUGGGUAACCUGCCCAUAAGACUGGGAUAACUCCGGGAAACCGGGGCUAAUACCGGAUAACAUUUUGAACCGCAUGGUUCGAAAUUGAAAGGCGGCUUCGGCUGUCACUUAUGGAUGGACCCGCGUCGCAUUAGCUAGUUGGUGAGGUAACGGCUCACCAAGGCAACGAUGCGUAGCCGACCUGAGAGGGUGAUCGGCCACACUGGGACUGAGACACGGCCCAGACUCCUACGGGAGGCAGCAGUAGGGAAUCUUCCGCAAUGGACGAAAGUCUGACGGAGCAACGCCGCGUGAGUGAUGAAGGCUUUCGGGUCGUAAAACUCUGUUGUUAGGGAAGAACAAGUGCUAGUUGAAUAAGCUGGCACCUUGACGGUACCUAACCAGAAAGCCACGGCUAACUACGUGCCAGCAGCCGCGGUAAUACGUAGGUGGCAAGCGUUAUCCGGAAUUAUUGGGCGUAAAG
rnacentral:rRNA from 1 species